rnacentral:rRNA from 1 species
UACGGGGGGGGCAAGCGUUGUUCGGAAUUACUGGGCGUAAAGGGCUCGUAGGCGGCCAACUAAGUCAGACGUGAAAUCCCUCGGCUUAACCGGGGAACUGCGUCUGAUACUGGAUGGCUUGAGUUUGGGAGAGGGAUGCGGAAUUCCAGGUGUAGCGGUGAAAUGCGCAGAUAUCGGGAGGAACACCAAUGGCGAAGGCAGCUCGCUGGGACGUUACUGACGCUGAGACGCGAAAGCGUGGGGAGCAAACAGG